GUAAGAAUGACCGUUCUAGCCCCUACGGUUAGGAAAUUAUGGUCAUUUGUUUGAGGGGAGUCGUCAUUAUGAGAAAUAGACUGCAAAAAUCCUGUGUCUCUCUGUGCUGCGUGCACCUGUUUUGGCGGGAAAAAGUGCACAGGCUCUCUGAUUGGUGGAUUCAAAUUCAGCAGCUCCAAGGCUGCUUGACUGAGCUAGAAACUUACCUCUCUCCCUGUGUGUGUGUGUGUGUGUGUGUGUGUGUGUGUGUGUGUGUGUGUGUGUGUGUGUGUGUGACAGAGAGAGAGAGAGAGGGAGAGAGAGAGAGAGAGAGAGAGAGAGAGAGAGGAAGCCUUUUUAUGGGAUGAUCUCAUUGUAAGAUUCAAAUUCAAUAUAUUUAGACUGGUUGACUGAAUUGGAUCUUGUGUGUGUCUCUCUCUGUGCAUGUGUGUUUCCAUAUGUGUCCAUAUUUGUGAUUGUGUGGCUGUUAUUUUUUUUUUGCCAAUUUUUUUCAUUUAACAAGUAUAUUUGAGGGACUGUUACAGGAAAAAUGUUUCUAUGUUUCUUUACCUUCUUUUAAAUGUGCAAGCAUGCCCUUUUGUCUAUGGUUAGAUUAGUUUAGAAUUAUCUUUUUAGACUUUCUCAGCAAAGACAUCUUGUUUCUGGGACAUAUUGUUUUAGAUUGUUUUAUCUCUCACAGCCUUCUCCCAGCUCUCUGCUGACGAGACUAGCGCCACAUAUGGAGUUGUUUAUUUUAUUUGUUUUGUAUUUUCUUAUCCUGUUCUCACUGUCUUUCCUAUAAAAAUUACCAAGCCACUGUGCAUGGUGUGAGUUGUCCUUAGCAGCUCACCCGUGUACACGUUUGAUAAAGAAAGUAACUUUGUCUCAUUGUGUCUUUAUUUCUCCUGGGUUUUUUACAGAGUUUUCCCCCAACAUUUCUUGGUCCUUCGGAGCCGGAGCGCCUCCAUCGUGUCCCAUCUCCGUGACCAGUCCACGUUGUUCGUCUGUCGACAGCCCACACACUAGGUGUGUGGUCAAAGACCAAGGGCGUUAAAUUCGAGUCUUGGCCAACGUUCUUAGAAAGCGACCCACGGUGGUGGGGCCCGAUCGAGGUGGACCAGACCCGGCGACACUGACCAGUGUCUUGCAGAUCACAGCCCGGUGACUGGGUUCUGAUCAAAGUGCUCCAAAGGAAAAACUGGAGCUUGCAAAAUAGCGGAACGACCAUCUUGCAUCCAUCAGAGCCAGUAAGUGAAGCCAUCUAAACACAGCU
ensembl:lncRNA